rnacentral:rRNA from 1 species
AUGUGCCAGAAUCUGACAUCCAUUUCUUCUAACUUCUGUUGGGGUUCAACUCAUGGUGAGAACAAGGUUCAUUGGGUUUUUUGGGACAAAAUGUGCAUGGCUAAGAGAGAUGGUGGGAUGGGGUUCCGAAAUUAUGAGGCAUUUAACCAGGCUUUACUUGCGAAGCAAGCUUGGCGGAUCCUCCAAGUUCCAGUUUCUCUUGUUGCUAGAGUUCUUCGUGCUCGGUACUUCCAACACUCUUCAAUCAUACAAGCUACAUGUCCUUCUAAUGGUUCUUUUACUUUCAGAAGUAUUCUGCAUGGCCGUGACUUGCUGAAAGAAGGAUUGGUGUGGCGUGUUGGUGAUGGCGCGCAAAUUUUAAUCCACCACGAUAACUGGAUCCUUCGAAAAGGAUGCUUGAGGCCACUGCGUCAAACCUUCAUCCAGGGCAUAACAAGGGUGGCUGACUUGCUGAAUGUAGAUGGAACCUGCUGGGAUGCGUCUAAAGUCGAAGCCAUGUUCUCUGAGGAUGAUGCUACUGAUAUCAUGCAAAUUCCGGUGGGUGGAAGCGAGGUUCACGACUUCAUGGCCUGGAACUACACGAAGGAUGGAGUGUUCACUGUCUGCUCUGGUUAA